rnacentral:misc_RNA from 1 species
UAGAAAGUAGUUAUUACUUUAUGGUUCCUUGCUUUUGUAUGUGUAGCGAGAUUCUAGACAUGUUUACCCAACUUUACACACCAACUUAUUCAAUGUGUUUUCAGCCAAAAUAGU